GACGGAGGAUGCAAGCGUUAUCCGGAAUGAUUGGGCGUAAAGCGUCCGCAGGUGGCAGUUCAAGUCUGCUGUCAAAGACCGGGGCUUAACUUCGGAAAGGCAGUGGAAACUGAACAGCUAGAGUAUGGUAGGGGCAGAGGGAAUUCCUGGUGUAGCGGUGAAAUGCGUAGAGAUCAGGAGGAACACCAGCGGCGAAGGCGGCAUCCUGGACUGGUCCUGACACUGAGGGACGAAAGCUAGGGGAGCGAAUGGG
rnacentral:rRNA from 1 species